GGAAAUGUAGAUAAAACAUUUUGGCCUGAGGACUCUCUUGGCAAAAGCCGCUCAUAUAAACGCAUGUAUAUCCAUGAGAAUCAAACUGCAUUUUCAUUUGGGUGGGGAUCUUCUUUUGAAGUUCCCAAACUUUUCUCAUUAUUAUCCUUGUUGUCUUCCUUUUGUUCAUGUUCUUUUGCAGCUUCAUUGGAUUCAGGUUGAACAUCCAUUGGAUGAACUUCAGAAUUCCCUAAUGUGCUUAUGUUCACAAUAGUCUUCAAAUUUUCUGCUAACUUUUCCUCCAUAAUCACCUUCUUUGCUUUCCUGUAGACUGCGUACAAUAGCAUCUGAAGUAGCCCCAAGAUG
rnacentral:misc_RNA from 1 species